rnacentral:rRNA from 1 species
UACAGAGGGGGCAAGCGUUGUUCGGAAUUACUGGGCGUAAAGGGCGCGUAGGCGGCCUGUUAAGUCGGACGUGAAAUCCCUCGGCUCAACCGGGGAACUGCGUCCGAUACUGGCGGGCUUGAAUUCGGGAGAGGGAUGUGGAAUUCCAGGUGUAGCGGUGAAAUGCGCAGAUAUCAGGAGGAACACCAAUGGCGAAGGCAGCUCGCUGGAACGGUACUGACGCUGAGGCGCGAAAGCGUGGGGAGCAAACAGG